GACAGAGGAGGCCAGCGUAGUUCGGAAUCAUUGGGCUUAAAGCGCGCGUAGGCGGCCUUGUAAGUGUCUUGUGAAAUCCCACGGCUCACCCGUGGAACUGCAGGGCAAACUGCAAGACUUGAGGUCGGUAGAGGCGCCUGGAACUCUAGGUGGAGCGGUGAAAUGCGUAGAUAUCUAGGGGAACGCCGGAGGCGAAAGCGGGGCGCUGGGCCGAUUCUGACGCUGAUGCGCGAAAGCGUGGGGAGCAGACAGG
rnacentral:rRNA from 1 species